rnacentral:lncRNA from 1 species
AGGUACAGUAUAGUGCGGGAGUCUGGAUAGAGUAAAGAAGUUUUGUUUAUGUAAUAGCUAGCAAUGGACAUGAUCAAAUUGUAAUGUAAAGUCUUUAUCAGUAUAGUCAUGUAAUGAGAUGAUGUUAUGGAUGUUAGAUGUGUGCUUGACCAUAGAUUGUUGUUAUCCCUUGUUAAUUACAUGAUCUUAGAGAUUUUUAUGAUGUUUAUGUAAACCAACUCAACAGAUGUUAUGUCACCCAUUGAGGGCACAGAUGAGAUCCCACAGAGGGAUCAAAGUUAUGUUUAUGUUUAUGCACAGGUUGAGUUUGGUUGAUGUUCAUGGAAAGAAAAGUUU